CAUUUAAGAUGCAGGUCCGUUUAUAUGCACAGGAAUGAACGUAGGCUACUUUUACAUUUUGUGCCUUCCCGUGGUGGUUCGCUCAACUCGUCACGGGUGACCGUGUAGCCUCUCUCGCUGGAAUCUCCCCUAUUGUUUCUUAUUUGGCAGAGAAUGUCGCUUUUUGGGUGGCCGAGUUCUAACGGCAGUCAAGAAGACGCCUUAAAAAAGGUGACAGCAGUACAACAGUACAAAGGCAAACAGGGCUGGAUGGUCCAAGGCCAGUCUGUCAACAGAUGUUGAAACGAUCCACGGUGGACAGGGAAGACUGCUGGAUCUUUACAUGGGAGAAAUAGGCCAUUAGGGCUCACUAGUAAGGGCAUUCGACCUAACCCUAACCAAGUAAAAUGUUGCCUAAACCCAACCUGGUAGUUGAGCUGCCCUACCAAGUCGUUUUAUGGCCCACCACCCUUUGAAAAAAAUAAGUCCACUAAGUCUGAAAUCUAAUACAGGUCAUGAACCCUGGUCCUAGGUGAAUGUCCCGUGUUUGACCCGUUCAUCCACCACCAACCCCUCCUGACAUGUACUUUGUGGCACUUUCUACCAUGUCACCUGACUUGAGUCGGCUUUCUGGCAGAAAGGACUUUCAGGUAGAGUGCUGCGUGGCGAGACGCAGCGCUCUGGCCAGAAGGUGGGAUGUGCACACAACUACUCUUUUGAACAUUGAGACUGGAAGAGAGCCAUUUAUCUGCCAGCUGUGUUAUGUGUGAGACAGGUUGCUCCAUGUCACUCCCUUGUAUAUGAGAGAGAGAAAAAGGACACUUGCAAAGAUGUUAUUUGGCCUUAGAGGACUACACAUCCGGCCAGCACUCCAGCCCCGGGAACUGCCGCGCUACUAUACUAAUAUAUAGCAUAUAUUAUUAUAUAGUCAAGGAUAUCCGAUAGAUAUAAGGGCUGUUAUUCAAUAGAUCUAUUUUGGUAACCUUGGUGUGGAGCAGCUUCUGUGGAUAUGCUGCUCACCCACCAGCGAUGCUUCGGGCCACAGCAACAUCACAUUAAAAUCAUGAGCAUUAGGAACCAAUUAACUGUAUGUGGAGGAGCUAGAUCAGGAGCUCCUAAGGAGAUCAGGAGCUGGAUCAGGAGCUACUAAGGAGCUACAUCAACAGCUACGAAGGAGUUAGAUCAAGAGCUACGAAGGAGUUAGAUCAGGAGCUACUAAGGAGAUCAGGUGCUACUAAAGGAGAUCAGGAUCUACUUAGGAGCUAGAUCAUGAAAGCAUUUUUGAAAUGACUUAAUGCAAAAGUUAUGCAAGAUAACCUAAUCUUGGUCUGCAAUGAUGAAUACCAAUCUCAACAGCCAAAGGACGACUUGGUGCUAUUCACAUACCUUUCCUAUAGUUUGUAUUGUAUGCAAUACAACACUCUCGGGCCAGUAGUGGUUAACACCACUUUUCAAGGAAUCGUGGAAAUGGAAUUGCUGAUAAAAAAAUAAAACAAAAAUAAACCCUGAUGUGCUGCUAGUGUUACUACAUAACCCAACUGAUCAAUUACACAACUUAAUAACACUAUGCCGACAAAUAUAGAAGCAAAUUACCGAAAGCAGACAAAGCAUUUUUCCCCAGCUGACAAAACCGUCAACCACACCCAUCUACUAUACGAGAUGUUGGUGCAAUGCCAAGGGGCCAGGAGUCAUGUUUGUACUCAAUUCUCAAUAGCACCCGGCAUAGUUUCAUCAUGCAGGUCCCUAAGGCCAUGAAGAGAAGAUGGAAUUUAAGUGAACAGUUCAGCAGAAAGGUAGGCAUCAACAUGAUGUCCGAACUUGAACGCUGGAAGCAUUCCACUCCUACCAUUAGUACCAAGCUCUUAUGUUGGCAGAUGCAUCUUAAAUCGAUUUACUCUCAGACACAAAGGCUCAUCCGUUUUUGUCCAAACUUUACUCAAGUUGUUAAGUUUACAAAAUGUGUACAGAAUGGUACAGCAGAGUGAAACAAAGCACCAGCAGUUGUGGACAAAUGAUCAAUUUCAAAUGUGGGCCUCUCCGCAUUAUUCAUUUUUUAAUAACGCAUUUAAUAAACGAGUCGCAAUUUAACUAUUAAUGAGGCUUAAUCAUCGGCCUUCAGGGACGCGUUAUCCAGUAAAACAAAAACACUAAAAGCAAUCUACUUAUUCCAUUAUGAACCUGAAAUUGAUAAAAGACAAUGGCCAAAAAAACAUUGUUAGGUCAAAGGGAUAAGGGUUACGGUAGAAGUGCUUUCCGUUGAACUAAGUGCUUGGAUACCACCCAGUCCCCCCAAAACAGUAUUAGAGCACAUUUAAGUCCAGAGGAAUUUUAAAUACUGACCCAACCACAGAAAAUAAAUAAAGAUCUGAGAUUUCUAGCACUUAAUGCCCAGCAAAGCUUUUGUAAAAAAAUAAGAGUUCUCAAACUCAACCUAGCAAUCAUAAAUAAGGUAAAACAGUCAAAAUGUGAAACCAUACAUUCCAUCGUUGAUAAAUAUGAAAUGGCCUGAUAAGACUUUAGGCAUGUCUCCUUAACCUAGUCUAUAUAGCUUGGUCAUCACAGUUAAACCACACACAACAAAGUCUGCAUAUUGGUUGUAGUUCAUUCAUUAAUUCCUAUACUGUAAACCUGGGAGGUAAAAAGACUGCCUGACUGGUAUAACUUAUUCCUACAGGAUUUUCCAUUUUGUUUGGGGUCCCUCCGUUUAAUAUUUCCACAGAUCUAGAUGCAUUGACUUUUAUUGAGUGGAUUUUUCAAUACACUGAAAUAGGCCUAUACAUAAAAUCCGCCAUGUCGACCAAAGAUUAUUUCCAAUAUUGUAACCAAACAAAUGUAAUUGAUUUUAUUUAUUUUUUACAGUGUAUGAAGUCUGGUUUGUAAAAUUAACAAAUAAAGAUAUUUUUCUA